rnacentral:rRNA from 1 species
CCUACGGGUGGCAGCAGUGGGGAAUAUUGCACAAUGGGCGAAACCCUGAUGCAGCGACGCCGCGUGAAGGAAGAAGGAUUUCGGUAUGUAAACUUCUAUCAGCAGGGAAGAAAAUGACGGUACCUGACUACGAAGCCCUGGCUAACUACGUGCCAGCAGCCGCGGUAAUACGGAGGGCGCAAGCGUUAUCCGGAUUUACUGGGUGUAAAGGGAGCGUAGGCGGUUUAGCAAGUCAGAAGUGAAAGCCCGGGGCUUAACUCCGGGACUGCUUUGGAAACUGGUGAACUAGAGUGCAGGAGAGGUGAGUGGAAUUCCUAGUGUAGCGGUGAAAUGCGUAGAUAUUAGGAGGAACACCAGUGGCGAAGGCGGCUUACUGGACUGUAAAUGACGCUGAGGCUCGAAAGCGUGGGGAGCAAACAGGAUUAGAUACCCUGGUAGUC